rnacentral:rRNA from 1 species
ACCAGACUCCUACGGGAGGCAGCAGUGGGGAAUAUUGCACAAUGGGGGAAACCCUGAUGCAGCGACGCCGCGUGAGCGAAGAAGUAUUUCGGUAUGUAAAGCUCUAUCAGCAGGGAAGAAAUUGACGGUACCUGAGUAAGAAGCUCCGGCUAAAUACGUGCCAGCAGCCGCGGUAAUACGUAUGGAGCAAGCGUUAUCCGGAUUUACUGGGUGUAAAGGGAGCGUAGGCGGCCUGCCAAGUCUGAUGUGAAAUACCGGGGCUCAACCCCGGGGCUGCAUUGGAAACUGGCAGGCUGGGGUGUCGGAGAGGCAGGCGGAAUUCCUAGUGUAGCGGUGAAAUGCGUAGAUAUUAGGAGGAACACCAGUGGCGAAGGCGGAUGACUGGACGGCAACUGACGGUGAGGCGCGAAAGCGUGGGGAGCAAACAGGAUUAGAUACCCUAGUA